CACGUAGGGCGCAAGCGUUGUCCGGAAUUAUUGGGCGUAAAGAGCUCGUAGGCGGUCUGUUGCGUCCGCUGUGAAAACUCGGGGCUUAACCCCGAGCCUGCAGUGGAUACGGGCAGACUAGAGGUAGGUAGGGGAGAAUGGAAUUCCCGGUGUAGCGGUGAAAUGCGCAGAGAUCGGGAGGAACACCCGUAGCGAAGGCGGCACUCUGGGCCGGUACUGACGCUGAGGAGCGAAAGCGUGGGGAGCGAACAGG
rnacentral:rRNA from 1 species